AUUGAACGCUGGCGGCAGGCCUAACACAUGCAAGUCGAACGAGUCGCGGACGGGUGAGUUAUGUCUGGGAAACUGCCUGGUGGAGGGGGAUCACCUCUGAAAACGGUAGCUAAUACCGCAUACCAUUAUGUGCGCCCAGAUGGGAUUAGCUUGUUGGAGGGGUAACGGCUCACCAAGGCGACGAUCACUCGCUGGUCUGAGAGGAUGACCAGCCACACUGGAACUGAGACACGGUCCAGACUCCUACGGGAGGCAGCAGUGGGGAAUAUUGCACAAUGGGCGCAAGCCUGAUGCAGCCAUGCCGCGGGUAUGAAGAAGGCGUUCGGGUUGUAAAGUACUUUCAGCGGGGAGGCGUUACCCGCAGAAGAAGCACCGGCUAACUCCGUGCCAGCAGCCGCGGUAAUAC
rnacentral:rRNA from 1 species